AUGAGGACUUAUGGAAGAUAUAAGGAGUGUGAGAGCUUGAGGAAUGUAAGAGUAGUGGGUAUAGGAACCCUCAUAUUGAAAGAGGUGUGGUACAGCAUGAAGGUCAAGUUACUGACCCCAGAAGAGCACCACUUUGAGGCUUCUGAGCCCUGUGGAAUGGUGGUCUCUGACCCAAUAGACUUGUCUCAGCCAUCCCCACAAGAAUUAGGUGUUCCAGGGACACCAAGGCCUUCCCUACGGGUAGGAAACAAGAAGCUCUGCUUCCUCCCUCCUCUGGGAAUUAGACUCUACAGUGGCCUCCCCUUAGACAUAGCUCCCUCUUGUGGUCACUUCCUUCAGUUCCAGACACCUAGCCAAAGAGCAUCAGAUGUUAGACAGCUAGAAGAAGAUGAAGAGAGGAUGGGAAUCAGGAGACAUUGGGUGGAGAUAAAGAGCCAUAGAUUGUCAUCCACCAGUGGAGAGAAGAUAGGGGAAUGUGUCGUGGAUUCAAGGAUCCUAAGAACCUGUGUUUCCAUUUCAGAUCCCCAGGUCUUACCCAGGAUCUUCCCUCUGAGCUCAUGCUCCUCUGAGGAUAGCAGCUCAGUGGUCCUAGGCUGUUUAGCUCAAGGCUUCUUCCCACAGCCUGUAAACAUGGCAUGGAAUUACAGUGGCUCCGGAGGCACAGUAAGGAACUACCCUGCUACGCUGAAUGGCAAAACCUACAUUCAAACCAGUGUGUUAGACCUUCCUGCAAACCAGUGCUUUGACACCCAGAGCUACCAGUGCCACAUAGAACAUUACAACACCAAUUCUAGUCUGAUGGUUCCCUGCAAAGAAAAAAUAAUUCCAUGUCCUUGCAAUACUGCUUAUGUAUCCCUGAGUCCUCCUUCCCUGGAGAGCCUGCUCCUGGGCACAGGUGCCAAUCUGACAUGUACACUCAGUGGCCUCAAUAAUGGUGAAGGAGUCGAGUUUACCUGGGGGAACACUCCGGCCCAGGCAUCAACUUUCAAACCUAUCCAGGGAAGACCUGAGAAGGACUCUAGUGGCAAGUAUAGUGUAUCCAGCGUCCUGGAGAUCUGUGCUGAGGAGUGGACCCGUGGGGACACCUUUUCUUGCACUGUGUCCCACCCUGAGAUAAAAACUACUAUCAAGAAUAUCAGGAAGCCAAAAGUGAUCCAGAUACCACCCCAGGUCUACUUGCUGCCACCAUCAGCAGAUGAACUAGCCUUAAAUGAACAGGUCUCAAUAACAUGCCUGAUGAGGGGUCACAGCCCACAAGAAGUGUUGGUACAGUGGAUGAAGGGGUCUGAGAAGCUGCCCAGUAAGGACUACAUCACCAGUGGUCCUCACCCAGAGCCCAAAAGCAUCAGCACCUUCAUAACAUCCAGCAUCAUCCUAGUCUCAGCCUCUGAAUGGAAGGAAGGAAACAAAUACACCUGUGUGGUAGGCCAUGAAGCUCUUCCCCUGAACUUCACCCAGCAAACCAUCGACCAAUUCUCUGGUAAACCCACCAAUGUCAAUGUAUCUGUCAUCAUGUCUGAUGUCUAUGGCACCUGUUACUGAGCCCAGCCUAAACUAUCAGGCCCCCAUCACUGCUCAGAACUUGAAUUACAAGGCAAGAGUGAAGGGGAAGUCGAUCUAUAGAAAAAAUAUCUAAUGGAAUAAAU